rnacentral:rRNA from 1 species
CAAUAGCGUAUAUUUAAGUUGCUGCAGUUAAAAAGCUCGUAGUUGGAUUUCGGGUGGGAAUGGCCGGUCCGCCGUUUCGGUGUGCACUUGCUACGCCCACCUUGCUGCCGGGGACGUGCUCUUGAGUUCACGCUCGGGACACGGAGUCGGCGAGGUUACUUUGAGUAAAUUAAAGUGUUCAAAGCAGGCCUACGCUCUGAAUACAUUAGCAUGGAAUAACACGAUAGGACUCUGGCCUAUCUUGUUGGUCUGUAGGACCGGAGUAAUGAUUAAGAGGGACAGUCGGGGGCAUUCGUAUUUCAUUGUCAGAGGUGAAAUUCUUGGAUUUAUGAAAGACGAACUACUGCGAAAGCAUUUGCCAAGGAUGUUUUCAUUAA